rnacentral:rRNA from 1 species
GGGUUGUGAGGUUAAGUGACUAAGCGUACACGGUGGAUGCCCUGGCAGUCAGAGGCGAUGAAGGACGUGCUAAUCUGCGAUAAGCGUCGGUAAGGUGAUAUGAACCGUUAUAACCGGCGAUUUCCGAAUGGGGAAACCCAGUGUGAUUCGUCACACUAUCAUUAACUGAAUCCAUAGGUUAAUGAGGCGAACCGGGGGAACUGAAACAUCUAAGUACCCCGAGGAAAAGAAAUCAACCGAGAUUCCCCCAGUAGCGGCGAGCGAACGGGGAGCAGCCCAGAGCCUGAAUCAGUGUGUGUGUUAGUGGAAGCGUCUGGAAAGGCGCGCGAUACAGGGUGACAGCCCCGUACACAAAAAUACACAU